GAAUAUGUAGUCGGCCGUUUCGACCCUAUCUUCGCGCGGUAGAAGUCGUAGGUUCGAGUCCUGCCUCUCCA
rnacentral:tRNA from 1 species